CCUACGGGAGGCAGCAGUAGGGAAUUUUCGGCAAUGGGGGGAACCCUGACCGAGCAACGCCGCGUGAACGAAGAAGUUAUUCGUAAUGUAAAGUUCUUUUAACAGGGAAGAAAGAGAAAUUUGACGGUACCUGAAGAAUAAGCCCCGGCUAACUACGUGCCAGCAGCCGCGGUAAUACGUAGGGGGCAAGCGUUAUCCGGAUUUACUGGGUGUAAAGGGAGCGUAGACGGCAGCACAAGUCUGGAGUGAAAUCCCGGGGCUUAACCCCGGAACUGCUUUGGAAACUGUGCGGCUGGAGGGCAGGAGGGGUAAGGGGAAUUCCUAGUGUGGCGGUGAAAUGCGUAGAUAGAAGGAGGAACACCGGUGGCGAAGGCGGCUUCCUGGACUGUAACGGACUUUGAGGCUCGAAAGCGUGGGGAGAAAACAGGAUUAGAUACCCUUGUAGUC
rnacentral:rRNA from 1 species